rnacentral:rRNA from 1 species
CCUACGGGAGGCAGCAGUGGGGAAUAUUGGGCAAUGGGCGCAAGCCUGACCCAGCAACGCCGCGUGAAGGAAGAAGGCUUUCGGGUUGUAAACUUCUUUUCUCAGGGACGAAGCAAGUGACGGUACCUGAGGAAUAAGCCACGGCUAACUACGUGCCAGCAGCCGCGGUAAUACGGAGGAUGCGAGCGUUAUCCGGAUUUAUUGGGUUAAAGGGGUGCGUAGGCGGACUGGAAAGUCAGCGGUAAAAUCGAGAGGCUCAACCUCUUUCCGCCGUUGAAACUGUCGGUCUUGAGUGGGCGAGAAGUAUGCGGAAUGCGUGGUGUAGCGGUGAAAUGCAUAGAUAUCACGCAGAACUCCGAUUGCGAAGGCAGCAUACCGGCGCCCGACUGACGCUGAGGCACGAAAGCGUGGGUAUCGAACAGGAUUAGAUACCCCUGUAGUC